UACGAACUGUGCGACCGUUAUUCGGAAUCACUGGGCUUAAAGGGUGCGUAGGCGGCUGCCUAAGUCAGACGUGAAAUCCCCAGGCUCAACCUGGGAACUGCGUCUGAUACUGGAUGGCUUGAAUCCGGGAGAGGGAUGCAGAAUUCCAGGUGUAGCGGUGAAAUGCGUAGAUAUCUGGAGGAAUACCGGUGGCGAAGGCGGCAUCCUGGACCGGCAUUGACGCUGAGGAGCGAAAGCCAGGGGAGCAAACGGG
rnacentral:rRNA from 1 species